rnacentral:rRNA from 1 species
CAGCAGCCACGGUAACACGUAGGGUGCGAGCGUUAAUCGGAAUUACUGGGCGUAAAGCGUGCGCAGGCGGUUUUGUAAGACAGGCGUGAAAUCCCCGGGCUCAACCUGGGAAUGGCGCUUGUGACUGCAAAGCUAGAGUGCGGCAGAGGGGGAUGGAAUUCCGCGUGUAGCAGUGAAAUGCGUAGAUAUGCGGAGGAACACCGAUGGCGAAGGCAAUCCCCUGGGCCUGCACUGACGCUCAUGCACGAAAGCGUGGGGAGCAAACAGGAUUAGAUACCCGAGUAGUCCCUGUCUCUUAUAC